UACGGAGGGUGCGAGCGUUGUCCGGAAUCACUGGGCGUAAAGGGCGCGUAGGCGGCGCGGAUAGUCGGCGGUGAAAGCCCGGAGCUCAACUCCGGGUCGGCCGUCGAUACUUCCGGGCUUGAGCACUGUAGAGGCAGAUGGAAUUCCGGGUGUAGCGGUGGAAUGCGUAGAGAUCCGGAAGAACACCGGUGGCGGAAGGCG
rnacentral:rRNA from 1 species